ensembl:antisense Mir133a-1hg Mir133a-1, Mir1b and Mir1a-2 host gene
AGGAUCUAGAAGCAAAUUAUAAAGAAGAGGGAGGCACGACGGAGAGAGCAGCAAGCAUGCUAACAUUUCUGAAUACACUUAAGACUCUGCUGACUGCAUCUCUUGGAAAAGAAGCAGCAGGGCAAAGCAUGGCAGUGCUUAAAAGAACCACAAGCAGAAGUGGCAUUGAUGGGAUCAGAGAAACUUUCCUCACAAGUGUCUAAGUGAAAAGAAACUGAAGGAGACAAAACCAGAGACCAAUAUCCACCCAAUUUUCGCAGUAACUACAAGAGAACUGCAUACUAAGCAUACAUCUCAGCAAUGGUGAAGGCCGGCAGGCAGGUGCCUGGGUAACCUGGGACGCCUGUUCAUCCAAAUAAAGCUGGCUUUCACUUCUUAA